GUGCCAGCCGCCGCGGUAAGACGAACCGUGCGAACGUUGUUCGGAUUCACUGGGCUUAAAGGGCGCGUAGGCGGGCUCACCAGUCAGGGGUGAAAGCUCCCGGCUCAACCGGGAAAGUGCCUUUGAUACUGUGAGUCUCGAGGGAGGUAGGGGCACGCGGAACUUCCGGUGGAGCGGUGAAAUGCGUAGAUAUCGGAAGGAACGCCGGUGGCGAAAGCGGCGUGCUGGACCUCUUCUGACGCUGAGGCGCGAAAGCCAGGGGAGCAAACGGGAUUAGAAACCCGUGUAGUCC
rnacentral:rRNA from 1 species